UACAGAGGUCUCAAGCGUUGUUCGGAUUCAUUGGGCGUAAAGGGUGCGUAGGUGGUGAUGCAAGUCUGGUGUGAAAUCUCGGAGCUCAACUCCGAAAUUGCACCGGAUACUGCGUGACUCGAGGACUGUAGAGGAGAUCGGAAUUCACGGUGUAGCAGUGAAAUGCGUAGAUAUCGUGAGGAAGACCAGUUGCGAAGGCGGAUCUCUGGGCAGUUCCUGACACUGGAGGCACGAAGGCCAGGGGAGCAAAACGGGG
rnacentral:rRNA from 1 species